GGGAUGGAUACCUUUCCAGGUCCGGCAAUUCAUGCUGGGACAGUUUCCGAGGUGGAUACCUUUCCAGGUCCGGCAAUUCAUGCUGGGACAGUUUCCGAGGUGGAUACCUGUCCAGGUCCGGCAAUUCAUGCUGGGACAGUUUCCGAGGUGGAUACCUGUCCAGGUCCGGCAAUUCAUGCUGGGACAGUUUCCGAGGUGGAUACCUGUCCAGGUCCGGCAAUUCAUGCUGGGACAGUUUCCGAGGUGGAUACCUGUCCAGGUCCGGCAAUUCAUGCUGGGACAGUUUCCGAGGUGGAUACCUUUCCAUGUCCGGCAAUUCAUGCUGGGACAGUUUCCGAGGUGGAUACCUUUCCAUGUCCGGCAGUUCAUGCUGGGACAGUUUCCUAGGUGGAUACCUGUCCGUGUCUGGCAAUUCAUG